CAGCUAUUUUUAAGCAAAAUCGAGCAGGGGUGGGCGGCCGGGGAAUGAAUGGAGAAGUUGGAUGCUGACUGCUGGAAAACUCAUGCCCGAGGUGGAACAAUAUGUUUGUGUAAAGUUUGUUCAACAUUGACUUUCAAGAGCACAAUAUAGGACUAUUCAAAAAAAAUGCUUUCAUCAACAACAAUCAUCUGGCAAAAUGGAUGGAGAGUUCACAGAGAAUGAGGGAUGCGCCAGUCUGGGCAAUCCGGGCCCCGAGUAAACUCGGAUCCUUAAUGGACAAUGACUCGCAUACAACUCAAAGAAUGUAUCGAUUUCCUCCUGGCUCAUCCGCACCAAUCUGGCACCGAGGGUCACACCCAAAGACAAAGAAAGAAAUGCGUUAC